rnacentral:rRNA from 1 species
GACGAACGCUGGCGGCGUGCUUAACACAUGCAAGUCGAACGGAAAGGCCCUGCUUUUGUGGGGUGCUCGAGUGGCGAACGGGUGAGUAACACGUGAGUAACCUGCCCUUGACUUUGGGAUAACUUCAGGAAACUGGGGCUAAUACCGGAUAGGAGCUCCUGCUGCAUGGUGGGGGUUGGAAAGUUUCGGCGGUUGGGGAUGGACUCGCGGCUUAUCAGCUUGUUGGUGGGGUAGUGGAUUACCAAGGCUUUGACGGGUAGCCGGCCUGGGAGGGUGACCGGCCACAUUGGGACUGAGAUAGGGCCCAGACUCCUACGGGAGGCAGCAGUGGGGAAUAUUGCACAAUGGGCGGAAGCCUGAUGCAGCAACGCCGCGUGCGGGAUGACGGCCUUCGGGUUGUAAACCGCUUUCGCCUGUGGCGAAGCGUGAGUGACGGUAAUGGGUAAAGAAGCACCGGCUAACUACGUG